AGAGAAAAGGGGAUAUUUUCGGGUUACAUGGGGGGAUUUUGAAGGGAAAAUGUGUGAUUUUCAUUUAAAUCGCGGCAUCUCUAAGAGAAAAUGCCUGAUGUUUGCAUUAAAUGUGUGAUUUUCAGGUUACAUGGGAGAUUUUUGAAGAGAAAAUGCAUGAUUUUCGGGAUAAAUGAGGGAUUCUUGAAGAGAAAAUGCGUGAUUUUCGGGUUAAAUGGGGGAUUCUGGAAGAGAAAUGGCAUUUUCUUCUGGUUAAAUGGGGGAUUUUCGAAGAGAAAAUGCACGAUUUUUGUUUACAGGUGAGAUUUUUGUAGAGGAAAUGCGUGAUUUUUUUGGAUACAUGGGGGAUUCCUGUAGCAAAACUGUUUGGAUUUUGGGGUCCAAUGGGGGAUUUUUGAAGAGCAAAAGUGUGAUUUUCGAGUUAAAUGGGGGAUUUUCCAAGAGAAAAUGCGUGAUUUUGGGGAUGAUGGGUAUUUUUUGAAGAGAU
ensembl:lncRNA